CCGGUAAACGGCGGCCGUAACUAUAACGGUCCUAAGGUAGCGAAAUUCCUUGUCGGGUAAGUUCCGACCUGCACGAAUGGCGUAAUGAUGGCCAGGCUGUCUCCACCCGAGACUCAGUGAAAUUGAACUCGCUGUGAAGAUGCAGUGUACCCGCGGCAAGACGGAAAGACCCCGUGAACCUUUACUAUAGCUUGACACUGAACAUUGAGCCUUGAUGUGUAGGAUAGGUGGGAGGCUUUGAAGUGUGGACGCCAGUCUGCAUGGAGCCGACCUUGAAAUACCACCCUUUAAUGUUUGAUGUUCUAACGUUGGCCCCUAAUCGGGGUUGCGGACAGUGUCUGGUGGGUAGUUUGACUGGGGCGGUCUCCUCCUAAAGAGUAACGGAGGAGCACGAAGGUUGGCUAAUCCUGGUCGGACAUCAGGAGGUUAGUGCAAUGGCAUAAGCCAGCUUGACUGCGAGCGUGACGGCGCGAGCAGGUGCGAAAGCAGGUCAUAGUGAUCCGGUGGUUCUGAAUGGAAGGGCCAUCGCUCAACGGAUAAAAGGUACUCCGGGGAUAACAGGCUGAUACCGCCCAAGAGUUCAUAUCGACGGCGGUGUUUGGCACCUCGAUGUCGGCUCAUCACAUCCUGGGGCUGAAGUAGGUCCCAAGGGUAUGGCUGUUCGCCAUUUAAAGUGGUACGCGAGCUGGGUUUAGAACGUCGUGAGACAGUUCGGUCCCUAUCUGCCGUGGGCGCUGGAGAACUGAGGGGGGCUGCUCCUAGUACGAGAGGACCGGAGUGGACGCAUCACUGGUGUUCGGGUUGUCAUGCCAAUGGCACUGCCCGGUAGCUAAAUGCGGAAGAGAUAAGUGCUGAAAGCAUCUAAGCACGAAACUUGCCCCGAGAUGAGUUCUCCCUGACUCCCUGAGAGUCCUGAAGGAACGUUGAAGACGACGA
rnacentral:rRNA from 1 species